GGCGUGUGACUGCGUACCUUUUGUAUAAUGGGUCAGCGACUUAUAUUCUGUAGCAAGGUUAACCGAAUAGGGGAGCCGAAGGGAAACCGAGUCUUAACUGGGCGUUAAGUUGCAGGGUAUAGACCCGAAACCCGGUGAUCUAGCCAUGGGCAGGUUGAAGGUUGGGUAACACUAACUGGAGGACCGAACCGACUAAUGUUGAAAAAUUAGCGGAUGACUUGUGGCUGGGGGUGAAAGGCCAAUCAAACCGGGAGAUAGCUGGUUCUCCCCGAAAGCUAUUUAGGUAGCGCCUCGUGAAUUCAUCUCCGGGGGUAGAGCACUGUUUCGGCAAGGGGGUCAUCCCGACUUACCAACCCGAUGCAAACUGCGAAUACCGGAGAAUGUUAUCACGGGAGACACACGGCGGGUGCUAACGUCCGUCGUGAAGAGGGAAACAACCCAGACCGCCAGCUAAGGUCCCAAAGUCAUGGUUAAGUGGGAAACGAUGUGGGAAGGCCCAGACAGCCAGGAUGUUGGCUUAGAAGCAGCCAUCAUUUAAAGAAAGCGUAAUAGCUCACUGGUCGAGUCGGCCUGCGCGGAAGAUGUAACGGGGCUAAACCAUGCACCGAAGCUGCGGCAGCGACGCUGAUGCGUUGUUGGGUAGGGGAGCGUUCUGUAAGCCUGCGAAGGUGUGCUGUGAGGCAUGCUGGAGGUAUCAGAAGUGCGAAUGCUGACAUAAGUAACGAUAAAGCGGGUGAAAAGCCCGCUCGCCGGAAGACCAAGGGUUCCUGUCCAACGUUAAUCGGGGCAGGGUGAGUCGACCCCUAAGGCGAGGCCGAAAGGCGUAGUCGAUGGGAAACAGGUUAAUAUUCCUGUACUUGGUGUUACUGCGAAGGGGGGACGGAGAAGGCUAUGUUGGCCGGGCGACGGUUGUCCCGGUUUAAGCGUGUAGGCUGGUUUUCCAGGCAAAUCCGGAAAAUCAAGGCUGAGGCGUGAUGACGAGGCACUACGGUGCUGAAGCAACAAAUGCCCUGCUUCCAGGAAAAGCCUCUAAGCAUCAGGUAACAUCAAAUCGUACCCCAAACCGACACAGGUGGUCAGGUAGAGAAUACCAAGGCGCUUGAGAGAACUCGGGUGAAGGAACUAGGCAAAAUGGUGCCGUAACUUCGGGAGAAGGCACGCUGAUAUGUAGGUGA
rnacentral:rRNA from 1 species